rnacentral:rRNA from 1 species
AUUGAACGCUGGCGGCAGGCCUAACACAUGCAAGUCGAACGAGUGGCGGACGGGUGAGUAAUGUCUGGGAAACUGCCUGAUGGAGGGGGAUCACUACUGGAAACGGUCGCUAAUACCGCAUACCAUCGGAUGUGCCCAGAUGGGAUUAGCUAGUAGGUGGGGUAAAGGCUCACCUAGGCGACGAUCCAGAGCUGGUCUGAGAGGAUGACCAGCAACACUGGAACUGAGACACGGUCCAGACUCCUAAGGGAGGCAGCAGUGGGGAAUAUGGCACAAUGGGCGGAAGCCUGAUGCAGCCAUGCAGCGUGUAUGAAGAAGGCCUUCGGGUUGUAAAGUACUUUAAGCGGGGAGGCGUUACCCGCAGAAGAAGCACCGGCUAACUCCGUGCCAGCAGCGGCGGUAAUGC